rnacentral:misc_RNA from 1 species
GCCGAAACAGUAUUACGGUAAGCGCCACCGGGUCUCUUCGUAGAGGGUUGUUUUGUGAAGGUGUUUAGGCAUGGCGGAUUCGGAAUCGAACCUUCAAAGCAAAUUGCGAUGCCAUCAUUGUGCAGGCCCUCUUUCCAAGGAGAUGGAAACUAGCGAUUGGACUAUUCCACCUCUAAUCAGAGAUAGCUUUUCCAUGAUUGGUUCUGCUGUUGGUGGUACAACGAGCGCAUUCUAUGGAUUCAACCAUGUGAUGCCAGUUGUUCGGAAGUGGGUAAAAGGACCAAUGUGGGUGCAUUUCCUCAUUGGCGCACCACCUGUAAUAGUAUUCUCUUCUGCCUGCGCGGGUUUAGCAGGUGGUGCUGUUCCAGCGCUAGCCCAACUUGCUUCAUCUUCUUACCAUGCAGCGGUGUCAUCUCCUUCACUUCCUCCUCCAUCACAUGAUCAGAAGAUGCAUGGCUCCAGAAGUUCCUCUACUUUGUGAGAGAUAACACGUAUACAUGCAGUGAUAUACAGUGGUGUCAAUGCAGAGAGAGAGAGAGAGAGAGAGAGAGAGACAGAGGGCUGCUUUUGUAUGUGUACACCACUGUGAGGGGCUUUGUAAGCCUUCGUGAUCUGCUAUGGGCAAAUUAAUAUCAGUUCAUUAUGAAAUUUGUCGCUGUCGAUAUCUACUACUUCGUAUGCAUAUUUAUAGUAUCUACUUCAUGUUUUUCAUGAUAUAGUACCGAAAUUGAAAAU